GCUGGAAAACGCGGCGAAACAGUUUAUCAACUUAAUGGACUUAAGUACACCAGUGUAAAUACUGUAUAAAAGUAUAACAAUUCUUUAUCUUUAAAUCGCUGAAUGUCAUGGGUCGAUUUUCUUGUUUGCUAAAAGUUUGUCAGGAAACUGGACAUCGCCAAAUAUUCAAGCGUUUAGCCUCGGUAAAUUAGUGAGAUUUGUCUGGCAUCAACAAACCAGCUCUUUAAACUUGCUUUUUGAUUGUGGUAGGAUUAUGACAUGUUAAAUACCACCGCCAAACAAAAAACUUCAACUUUGAUUUGGAUGUCAAGUUUGCAGGUGUUACAACAAACCGUCUGUUUGUUACAAUUAACCCCACCUAUGGGGUAAGUUGUUACGUUUGCACUCCUGUCACUUUCAGUGUAAUUGUAUGAUAACGGCAGAAGCUACAACCAAACAAAGCCCACUCUACAAGCCAUAAAAUGCUGGUUGGCUGAAUCAGAUUCUAUAUUAAGUAACUGCAUUGCUACCUAUAAGAGGCUCUUGAUUUUCUGUGUAGCAGCUGGAAACAUCAUUAUGUAUGCAGAAUGUUACCAGCUACAGGAAUAAUUACAUUUAGGAUGAGGUUCUAGCUAAUCAGAAAUUAUACCAGUAUGGUAAAACAGAUCAGUCAGAGGAUGCUGUCUGGUCCUUCUCAGGUGAGGGGAAUGCUAAAAUGCACUUUUUAUUUACAACUCAGUAUUCAGUACUGCUUGACUUGCAUCUGAAGUCAGUCAGUAACUUUAUCCUGGACUGUCCUGACAGAAUGGUGAGAGUGGGGACCACCAACUUGUCAGUAUAUCCUCUGACAGCAUAUCCUCCAAUUCUGAAUACUAUUUACUACUCAGGGCUGCGUACCCUGCACCCUUUAAUACUCUAGGGGGCAGUUUUCCGGACAGAAAUUAGACUAGUCCUAAACUAAAAUAAAUGUAAGAGCUGUCCAAACUGAAAAUAUCUUGCACUGAGAUAUCUUAAAAUACAUUAGUGCCCUCUGUUUUGCCUCAAAAUGUAAUGUUUUUAGUUAUAUUUCCUAAUUAAACUACGGCCUAGUCCUGGCUUAAAAGGAUAGUUCACUCAAAAAUGAAAAUUCUGUCAUCAUUUACUCACUCUCGUGUUGUUACA